AUAGCCCUGUACGCGAAAGGGGUUGUAACUCUACAGCGUUUAUCUUGAGUACCACGGGUCUCGUGAAACCCUGUGGGAAGCCGCCGCGACUAUGCGGCAAAGCUAAAUACUUUUGAUGAUCGAUAGUGAACAAGUACCGUGAGGGAAAGGUGAAAAGCAGCCCGGUGAGGGCGAUGAAAUAGUAUCUGAAACCAUUUGCUUACAAGGAGUCAGCGCCGUUGCUUCGCAACGGGAAUUUUGAAUUUUGAAACUCGAAUUUUGAAUCAAUUUUUAAUAUUCAAAUAUUAGAAUAUUGAAUCAAAAUUAAAAAUUCGAAUUUCCGCUGCGGAGCAGCGGUCAUGGCGUGCCUAUUGAAGAAUGAGCCAACGAGUUUGUCAAUGCGGCUUAGCUUAAGCCCGAACAGGGCGCAAGCAUAGUGAAAGCGAGGGUUAAUCGCCCGCGUUUGCUUAUCGCUUAUUGCGAAUCGCUUAUCUUUCAAGAUUUGCGAUUUGCCAUUUGCGAUUUGCAAACUUGUCGUUUUGACAAAACCCGAAACCAGGUGAUCUAGCCAUGACCAGGGUGAGUCCGGUGUAACAGCCGGAGGAGGCCCGAACCCAUAAGCUGUGCAAAACUUUGGGAUGAGUCGUGGCUAGCGGUGAAAUUCCAAUCGAACCUGGUAAUAGCUGGUUCUCCUCGAAAUAGCUUUAGCGCUAGCCUCAGACAGUAGUAGCGGGGGUAGAGCACUGAAUGGGAGCGGAUGGAGCGAUCCUACCGUUCUCAACCAAACUCCGAAUACCGUUACGGAAUGUCUGGGAGUCAGACUAUGGGGGCUAAGCUCCAUUAGUCAAAAGGGAAACAGCCCUGAUCACCAGCUAAGGUCCCUAAAUCGACGUUAAGUGUCAAAGGUAGUAAUUUGACUCAAACAACCAGGAUGUUGGCUUAGAAGCAGCCAUCAUUUAAAGAAAGCGUAACAGCUCACUGGUCAAGUCGAAUUGCGCCGAAAAUGUACCGGGGCUAAACGUCGUACCGAAGCUGUGAGUUCGUUCGUGCUUCACUUAUGUUCAGCACGAACUCAAAUUCAAAAUUCAAAAAUCAAAAGUCAAAAUUAUAGAGUCCCGCCUACGGCGGGAUGGAAUAAUUACUUAAACUUUUGAGAUUUGAGACCUGCCCGUCAAUGCCUGCCAAAAAAUUUCAGUGAAACAAUUUAGAUUUAUUCAGACUAAAAUUUAUUAUUAAAUAUUUAAGAAAGGCGAUGACAGGCGGGUUUAAGUUUUGAGAUUGAGCGAGUGCCGAGCGUAAGCGAGGCGCGAGCGAACGGUAGAGGAGCUUUCCUUAUGCACUGAAGGUGACUCGCGAGAGUUGCUGGAGCGUAAGGAAGUGAGAAUGUUGGCAUGAGUAACAAAAAUCCCGGUGAGAAUCCGGGACACCGUAAGCCUAAGGUUUCCUGGGCAACGCGAAUCGUCCCAGGGUUAGUCGGUCCUAAGGCGAGGCCGAAAGGCGUAGUCGAUGGAAAAGCAGGUCAAUAUUCCUGCACUACCGAUAGUAAACCCGUUGACCGACGUACUUCGGAUAUUUAAACGUUCUAUGGUAUGAGCGUUCGUUCGUGCUUCACUUAUAUUCAGCACGAAUUCAAAUUCAAAAUUCAAAAAUCAAAAGUCAAAAUUAUAGAGUCCCGCCUACGGCGGGAUGGAAUAAUUACUUAAACUUUUGAGAUUUGAGACCUGCCCGUCAAUGCCUGCCAAAAAAUUUCAGUGAAACAAUUUAGAUUUAUUCAGACUAAAAUUUAUUAUUAAAUAUUUAAGAAAGGCGAUGACAGGCGGGUUUAAGUUUUGAGAUUGAGCGAGUGCCGAGCGUAAGCGAGGCGCGAGCGAGAAGACAAAGCCUCGGCUGAGUCAACUUAAAUUGAAAAAGUGCCUAGAAAAAGUCAGCGGUCUGUAUUAUUGGUAACCGUACCGUAAACCGACACAGGUGGGCGGGCAUAAGUGUGCCAAGGUGAAUGAGAGAAUCCUCGUUUAGGAACUCGGCAAAAUAACGUCCGUAAGUUAGCAAUAAGGACUCCCCGAUUUUACAUCGGGGCGCAGCUAAAGAUCUCAAGCGACUGUUUACCAAAAACUUAGGUCCCUGCGAAAGCGCAAGCUGAUGUAUAGGGGCUGAUGCCUGGCCAGUGUCAGAACGUUAAGGGGAGAAGUGAUCCGUUGCUUCGCAACGGGAAUUUUGAAUUUUAAAACUCGAAUUUUGAAUCAAUUUUUAAUAUUCAAAUAUUAGAAUAUUGAAUCAAAAUUAAAAAUUCGAAUUUCCGCUGCGGAGCAGCGGCGCAGCUUCAAACCGAAGCGCUGAUGAACGCCGGCGAUAACUAUAAUCGUCCUAAGGUUUUGCUCUUAAUUUUCGAGAGCAAAAGGACUGGGACGAUUAUAUCGAAGAUUCGCUGCCUCAUUUCACUGCAAAGUGAAAUUGGUCCAUAAAAUACUUAGCUGUAUGCUGGAAAGUUGACAGAGAUAAUUAAAUAUGGUAAUAUUUUACCAUAGAUUAAAAUUAUCCUAUGUCAACCAAUCAGCAGGAAAGUCUAAAAAUUAAAAGCUGGAUUGUUGGGUUUACUGAUGGAGAAGGUUGCUUCUCGGUUAGUAUAAUCAAAAAUUUGACAACCAAAACCGGUUGGCAAAUUUUUCCUGAAUUUGUGAUUACGCAAGGUGAAAAAAGCUUAAAGGUGAUACAAAAUAUUAAAGAUUAUUUCAACUGCGGUCAGAUUUAUAUUAAUCGCAGAAAAGAUAAUCAUAAAGAAAAUCUUUGUCGCUAUUGCGUAAGAUCAAUUAAGGAUUUAGACGAAAAAAUUAUUCCUUUCUUUAAGAAGAAUAGAUUAAGAACAGCAAAAUUUAAUGAUUUUAAGAAAUUUUGUUUGAUCCUUAAAUUAAUGAAACGAAAAAAACAUUUGACCCAAGAAGGAAUAAAAAAAAUCGCUAAAAUUAUUCAGGAAAUGAAUAGAAAAAUUCCAGCUAGAUUUUUAGAAUCCUCAGAGACUAAACGCUAAGCUCCCGAUUUUAAAUCGGGAUGAAGAUAUAGUCCAAAGCCUCAAGGAAGCUAGAGCGAAAUUCCUUGUCGGGUAAGUUCCGACCUGCACGAAUGGCAUAACGACUUGAGAACUCUCUCAACGAGGAACUCAGUGAAAUUGCAAGUCCAGUGAAGAUGCUGGGUACCCACAGCUGGACGAAAAGACCCCGUGAAGCUUUACUACAACUUGAUAUUGGAUUAUUAUUUCACCUGUUCAGAAUAGGUGGGAGGUCGUGUUCUGCUGACGCAGAACACUAAAUUCAAAAUUCAAAAAUCAAAAGUCAAAAUUAUAGAGUCCCGCCUACGGCGGGAUGGAAUAAUUACUUAAACUUUUGAGAUUUGAGACCUACCCGUCAAUGCCUGCCAAAAAAUUUUAGUGAAACAAUUUAGGUUUAUUCGGACUAAAAUUUAUUAUUAAAUAUUUAAGAAAGGCGAUGGCAGGCGGGUUUAAGUUUUGAGUUUAGGACGCGUCCGCAGGACGCGGCCGUCAGUGAGAUACCACCCUGGUGUUUUGAUAAUUCUAAUCUAGCCCCCUGAACCGGGGGAGGAAACAGUAUCUGGUGGGUAGUUUAACUGGGGCGGUUGCCUCCUAAAAGGUAACGGAGGCGUUUACAAAGGUUGGCUAGGUUCGGAUGGAAAUCGAACCGAUAGUGUAAAGGCACAUGCCAGCUUUACUGCAAGACUUACCAGUCGCGCAGUUACGAAAGUAUAACUUAGUGAUCCGACCGUACGAGAUAGGACGGCGGAAGCUCAACGGAUAAAAGCUACUCCGGGGAUAACAGGCUAGUCUGGUCCAAGAGUCCACAUCGACGACCAG
rnacentral:ncRNA from 1 species